AAAUUACUCCCUCCGUCCGAAAAAGCUUGUCCCUCGAAUGGAUGUAUCUAGCACCAAGUUAGUGCUAGAUACAUCCAUUUAAGGAACAAGCUUGGGACAAGCUUUUUCGGACGGAGGGAGUACUUA
rnacentral:pre_miRNA from 1 species